GUUGUGGCUCAGUGGUAGAGUGCUUGCUUAGCAUGCACGAGGCACUGGGUUUGAUCCUCCGCAAAACA
rnacentral:tRNA from 1 species